rnacentral:tRNA from 1 species
GGGGUUGUGGCUCAGCGGUAGAGUGCUCGCUUAGCAUGUGUGAGGCCCUGGGUUCAAUCCUCAGUACCACA